rnacentral:rRNA from 1 species
GACGAACCGUGCGAACGUUGUUCGGAAUCACUGGGCUUAAAGGGCGCGUAGGCGGGCCAGCAAGUCAGGGGUGAAAGCCCACGGCUCAACCGUGGAAGUGCCUCUGAUACUGUUGGCCUCGAGGGAGGUAGGGGCGUGCGGAACUUCCGGUGGAGCGGUGAAAUGCGUAGAUAUCGGAAGGAACAUCGGUGGCGAAAGCGGCGCGCUGGACCUCUACUGACGCUGAGGCGCGAAAGCCAGGGGAGCAAACGGG